AAGGGAGCGUAGGCGGCUGAUUAAGUCAGCGGUGAAAGGUAGCAGCUUAACUGUUUUACAUGCCGUUGAUACUGGUUAGCUUGAGUUGACAGAAGGCAGAUAGAAUUCCUGGUGUAGCGGUGAAAUGCUUAGAUACCAGGAGGAAUACCGAUUGCGAAGGCAGUCUGCUGCAGUCACACUGACGCUGAGGCUCGAAGGUGCGGGGAUCAAACAGGAUUAGAUACCCUAGU
rnacentral:rRNA from 1 species